rnacentral:rRNA from 1 species
UACGGAGGGUGCAAACGUUGCUCGGAAUCAUUGGGCGUAAAGCGCACGUAGGCGGUCUUUUAAGUCGGAUGUGAAAGCCCCAGGCUCAACCUGGGAAGUGCAUCGGAAACUGAAAGGCUAGAGUACGGAAGAGGGUCUCGGAAUUCCCGGUGUAGAGGUGAAAUUCGUAGAUAUCGGGAGGAACACCAGUGGCGAAGGCGGAGACCUGGGCCGAUACUGACGCUGAGGUGCGAAAGCGUGGGGAGCAAACAGG